rnacentral:rRNA from 1 species
GAUCAUGGCUCAGGAUGAACGUUGGCGGCGUGCUUAACACAUGCAAGUCGAACGGGAAUUACUUUAUUGAAACUUCGGUCGAUUUAAUUUAAUUCUAGUGGCGGACGGGUGAGUAACGCGUGGGUAACCUGCCUUAUACAGGGGGAUAACAGUCAGAAAUGGCUGCUAAUACCGCAUAAGCGCACAGAGUUGCAUGGCUCAGUGUGAAAAACUCCGGUGGUAUAAGAUGGACCCGCGUUGGAUUAG